CUAGGAGUCCUGCUGUUUCUAGGCCAGUCACAAAGAGAUCUGAGGCUGGAAGCAAAGGAGCUUGCACAAUAGUGAGUACAUUUGUGAGGCAAGGGUUUUUUUUAAACAUUUUUGUUUUAUUUGAAAAGUAAACAUAUGCACAUAGUGGUUUUGUUUUUGUUUUGUUUUAAUGUCAAAAGCUUACUGAAGAAGACGUAGGUCUCCCUCAACCCCUUACUACUAGCCCCUUGAUCUGCAACUCAGAAUCAAUCUCUAUUUAAGCUCAGUUAUGUGGCCUUUGAGUGUGGAUAUUUUAAGAGCAGAGGAAAACUGCUUUCCUACAUCCAGUAGUCAGUCUCUCUCUUUUAAUCUUACACAUGCCCAUUGGCAAAGACAAAAGAAGUUAGAGGACAGGACCCCGAAGGGGAGCAGGCUGGAGAGGGGAAAAAAAGAAAAGAAUUGCCGGAAGAACUACGGAUGAUGGGCCACCUUCAAACCUUAAAGGCUGUCAUGGAUGCGCUAGAGAGCAAAAUACGGACUGGAAUGGAAUCAGGUAUUUGCAAGAAGAGAAUAUGGCACAAUUUGCUAUAUCCCUGAAAGGAGAGGAAACAGGUCUGAAGACCCUCUGAGCUCCCCACUCCAAGUAGCUGCCUCCUUCAAAUGACUAAGCCAACUUGGAUUGUAAACACUGCAGAAAAUAAAUUUAAAAAUCAC
rnacentral:lncRNA from 1 species